rnacentral:rRNA from 1 species
UACGUAGGGGGCAAGCGUUGUCCGGAUUUAUUGGGCGUAAAGAGCGUGUAGGCGGCUGGGUAGGUCCGCUGUGAAAACUCGAGGCUCAACCUCGAGACGCCGAUGGAAACCAUCAGACUAGAGUCCGGAAGAGGAGAGUGGAAUUCCCGGUGUAGCGGUGAAAUGCGCAGAUAUCGGGAAGAACACCCGUGGCGAGGGCGGCUCUCUGGGACGGUACUGACGCUGAGACGCGAAAGCGUGGGGAGCGAACAGG